rnacentral:rRNA from 1 species
CAAGCGAAAGCGUUAAGUAUUCCACCUGGGGAGUACGCCGGCAACGGUGAAACUCAAAGGAAUUGACGGGGGCCCGCACAAGCGGAGGAACAUGUGGUUUAAUUCGAUGAUACGCGAGGAACCUUACCCGGGCUUGAACUCAGGGGGACGACGGCAGAGACGCCGUUUUCUUCGGACCCUCUGGGAGGUGCUGCAUGGUUGUCGUCAGCUCGUGCCGUGAGGUGUCGGCUUAAGUGCCAUAACGAGCGCAACCCUCAUUCUCGUUUGCCAUCGGGUGAUGCCGGGCACUCCGGGAAUACUGCCAUCGUAAGAUGUGAGGAAGGUGGGGAUGACGUCAAAUCAGCACGGCCCUUACGUCCGGGGCUACACACGUGUUACAAUGGGCGGUACAGAGGGCCGCGACCACGCGAGUGGGAGCCAAUCCUCAAAGCCGUUCUCAGUUCGGACUGGAGUCUGCAACCCGACUCCACGAAGCUGGAUUCGCUAGUAAUCGCGCAUCAGCCAUGGCGCGGUGAAUACGUUCCCGGGCCUUGUACACACCGCCCGUC